rnacentral:rRNA from 1 species
GAUGAACGCUAGCGGCAGGCCUAAUACAUGCAAGUCGGACGGGAUCUAGGAGCUUGCUCCUGGUGAGAGUGGCGCACGGGUGCGUAACACGUAUGUAACCUACCUUUAUCAGGGGGAUAGCCUCUCGAAAGAGAGAUUAACACCGCAUAACAUCACGAUGAAGCAUUUCAAUGUGAUCAAAUAUUUAUAGGAUAAAGAUGGGCAUGCGGGACAUUAGCUAGUUGGCGGGGUAACGGCCCACCAAGGCGACGAUGUCUAGGGGAUCUGAGAGGAUGACCCCCCACACUGGUACUGAGACACGGACCAGACUCCUACGGGAGGCAGCAGUAAGGAAUAUUGGUCAAUGGACGCAAGUCUGAACCAGCCAUGCCGCGUGCAGGAAGACGGCCCUACGGGUUGUAAACUGCUUUUGUACCGGAAUAAACCCUUUUACGAGUAGAAGGCUGAAUGUACGGUAAGAAUAAGGAUCGGCUAACUCCGUGCCAGCCGCCGCGGUAA